GUUAGGAAUCUUGCGCAAUGGGCGAAAGCCUGACGCAGCGACACCGCGUGGGGGAUGAAGGCCUUCGGGUUGUAAACCCCUUUCGGCAGGGACGAAGCGGAAGUGACGGUACCUGCAGAAGAAGUCCCGGCUAACUACGUGCCAGCAGCCGCGGUAAGACGUAGGGGACGAGCGUUGUCCGGAUUCAUUGGGCGUAAAGCGCGCGCAGGCGGUCACGUAAGUCGGAUGUGAAAUCCCGGGGCUCAACCCCGGAACUGCAUUCGAUACUGCGUGACUUGAGGCAGGUAGGGGAGAUCGGAAUUCCUGGUGUAGCGGUGAAAUGCGCAGAUAUCAGGAGGAACACCGGUGGCGAAGGCGGAUCUCUGGGCCUGUCCUGACGCUGAGGCGCGAAAGCUAGGGGAGCGAACAGGAUUAGAAACCCGAGUAGUCC
rnacentral:rRNA from 1 species